CCGCGGGCUGGGCAGCGCUGAGCGGAUUUUGUUUUAUCCUGUGAGCUCUGUUGACACAACAGAGGUGCGGGGUUAGGGGGAGGGGGGUGCUGCUGUGUUCAGCGCUUCCUGUGAGGAAAUCAGUGUUUUGGAAAGAGCUCCCCUUUACACAGCGAAGGCCGCUGUCAGGUCACCUCGGAGCCUUCUCUUCUGCAGGCUGCACAGCCCCAGCUCUCUCAGCCUGUCUUCAUAGGAGAGGUGUUCUAUCCCUUGGAUCCUUUUUGUGGCCCUGCUCUGGAUGCACUCCAGCAGCUCCGUGUCUCUCCUGUACUGAGGACUCCAUGUCUGUACGCAGUGCUCCAGAAAAUGUAUUUCUGAACUGAAGCUACAUCAUGGGUCGUUAUCAUAAGAAUGUGAACCGCUGUAAGAAAUGCCCUGCAGAAGAGGAAGACUGGAGAUGUUAGUGAUAACCAGGGAUGAGCUGCAGUUUGUCUUUGCAACAGAAGUUGGUGUGAUGCCAGGAUCUCUUCCUACUGCAGAGCAGUGUAAAUGGACGUAGUGAGUAAAGCACUGAAGAAUGAUGGCAUAAUCCCAGAAAAACUGAGCGACACACCAUGAUUGCAGUAAGAAAUAAAUCCUGUAGAAGAUUUCUGAAUGUCUUUCAGUGAGAGUCUCCCUCAGCAAAGACAUCUGGAUGUUACUGGCAAUAGUCGUGCUCCUGGGGCUUUAGGUAAGGCAUCAUUAUCCCGAGCCCACAUCCCGCAACACCUUGGAGGUAAGAAUCCAACUGGGACCUUAAUUCUUCAGUGCAUGGAAGCUGCUGGGAAGGAAAGGCCUGGUGCUCGCAGGAGCAAGAUGAGUGAUUUUGCACAGUUCUUUGAAGUGUGGCUUCCUCCUUGCUGAAAGCUUCACAGCCAGGAGUGCUGUGUUGUUCCUGGCAGAAAGUAUUAAUGCAAUGGUAACUAAGAUACUGGAACUUCAUUUAUGGGAGGGAGUGCAGUCUUGUAGUUGAGCAAAACAGUAGAAAGCUUGAAAUAAAAUUCUGACUAUGUUUUUGGGAUUGUCUUGCUCUGAGAAGUUCAGAGGUCACUUGCUGAGUCCUGCUUCCAAACCUCCUUGAGCAGUGUUGCACUGCUGUUGUGGUAUAAUAGGGCUUUAAGACAACAGGUACCAUCCUGUCUCAAACUGUAAGAAUAGCCCUCCAUUCCAGCACUGCAAUCCUGGGUCUGGGCUCACCACAUCUCACUAGUAGCAAUGAUAUAAUAGCUCUGGGGAAGGACUGUAGCUUCCAGUUCAUAUGCUAGCAUUUCAGGUGUCCUUUUGAACCCACAGCGCUCCCUGGAGUGGCACAGAUGCUCAUACUAACCUUGUCACCCUCAGAUGGUGCCGCACUGCCCCUCAGCUUAGCUUAGUUCUCCUAAUGGCAUUCUCUUCCUUGACUGAUCCUCUAGAAGCCUGCUCCUUCGGUCUUGUGCUACGGGCCAAGAAACAUUUCCCCCAGCAGACUCUUAUCUCAAAGACCUUGGUUAUAAAACCAAGAUUUUGCAUCAGUCUUAAUGGCCUUGCUUGAUUCCUGGUUAACAUCCCUGAUUGUAGUGGCAGGGAGGCAGCAAACAGAUCUGUGAAGAGGGUGUGAGCUGCAGAUGGAGCCUUAGUCCUACCAAGCUCCCAGUGUUCAGAUGCAGCGUUAAGACCCAGACUGUGUUGGAAACAUGUUGGUGCAGUGAUAGAAAUUUGUGUUACUUUAUUUCUGUGUUAGUUGCAAUUUAGGCACAGGUGUGCAACCUUUUUAAUUGUUCUGGUGUUUUUCUCCAUAUGAACAACUAUUAUAAACAAGUGAUGUGUAAAUCGCACAAUGGGGUGUGUGAUUUUGGUGUAGUUUAACAUUCCCUAUCAUUUUUUCCUCCCACUUUUGCCCUUUUCUAUGUCCCCAUAUAGCACUUCUUGCACUAAAAGGAUUUGCAAGAAUAACCACCUGGACUGCAGUCCAGUGACCUACAGGUGACUCAAUGCAAAAUGAGACAAGUCCAGAUUAGUAAGAUUUGAUUAGUUGUCAUGUGUUUAAUACCUGAUAAUUACCAGGGUCAGAUAUUUUGCAGUUGUACGUGCUGACCCCUCUGUAACACUUCGCAGAGGUGAGCUGGUCUGCCUCUUGAGGUGAAUUCUCCACUUUUGUGGCAGUUGUCGUUUUGUGAUACUAAACCUGAGCUAUAUUUUAAGCAUUACCUCGGUUCUUCAUCCUUAGAAAAUCAUGUCAUAAAAAUUGUGAACAGCUAUUUAUAAUACUAAGCUUAACACUGUGAACAACGUCACUCCUUCUUUAGACUGUGAAUAUGAAAUCAAAUAUUAUAAGUUUAAAUGCCAUGAACUUACUGUAAAAGGAAACUAGGAUAUUGUUUUUCCUCCCCAUCCACCUGAAUUUCACAGUAGACCACAUCCAGACAACCACAGACAGGAAGUCCAGCAUUAGAACAAGAAAGAUGUAUCACCAUCAAGUCUAUUUAAGAGUUUGCUGGUCUCUUGUGUGUGUUGUUUUCCUCUGUCUUUUAGUAUUACCUCUGUGUAUGGUGUGUGUAACUGCAAAGCUGCUAAGUUGUAAAGUCAUCUGAAGCAUGAUUCUUCAAGUGUCUGACAGUGACAUCAUGCUGUGAUUACAUUUUAGUAUUUUUUUGAAUAAUAUUUUAUAUUUUGAAUAAACAUCCAAAUGCACCCAAAGCAGAUUUUUAGAUCUUAUGAACUUCAGAAUUGAAAUACUGAAAUCUUCUCGUGUUUUUUGUCAUUUAAGUGCAUCAAGAAAUAUUGACUCUGUAACAGAGCAGGUAUAUGUGCAUAACCACUGCAAAUUUUAAAAUCAUGGGAUUACUGAAAAAAGUGAGUUAAUAAAAUGAAUUCUCUUCUUUUACAGGGUAAUUUCUAUGUGUAUGAACUCUGAGGUAGUGACUUGGCCUUCGCCAGGCAGUGUAGAGAUGGCUCGGGGUUUCUGAUUAGCCUGAUUGACUCCCCUGGACAUGUUGGUUUCUCCUUUGAAGGUUCAGCAGCUCUCCGUUCACUGAUGGUGCCCUUGUUGUGGUUCACAGUGUUUCAGUGUGUUACUGAAGAGUCUGGUGCACAUGUAAUUGCUGGAGCUGGCAAGCUGCAUCUUGAAGUUUGUCUUAAGGAUCUGGAAGAAGAUCAUGCUUUACUCCAAUUAAAGUAUUCAGGAAUUUUUGUGGACUGCAGCAUAUGGAAUAUGACUAGAUAUUAAAGAUAUAAAAUCUGGUGUUGUUGGUUUCCUUGGAAGAACUUCCUUAAAACAACUUGAAACUUUUCAAAGGAAGACAACUGGAUAAAUAGUAAUACGAAUUCUUCAUUAUAUUAAUGAAAGAGCUCAGAAUUAGUAUGUAGCUUUGAAGAAGAUGCAGCAAACAGGAAAACUAACUAGAACAAUGAUGGCAACCAUAGAUGUGCUGCUGGAAAAGUUGUUCCUUUUGUUAGAGCUAGUAGAACAGACCUGUGCAACCAAGUGAACCCUGUGUGAGGAGAACACAAGGGAUAACGCUUUUUUUGUUACUGACAUACAACCAAAAAAAGACCACUGCAGGAUAAAAGGGAGUUAAGAAUUCCGAUUUUAUCAGCUCCAAGUUUCUCCCCGUUGUCUCUUCCCAUCUUCAGAUCAUUCUUUGAAGUUGUUGACUUUUUCUGGCCGCCGACUCAGUUGGCCUUUCCUGCCAGCAGAGGGUGCCAAGAGAACGUGUGGCAUCUGCAAAUUAAAACUCCAGUGCUGAACUGGUUCUGUACCCAUCGUUUUGAAUCAAGGUCUUCCUCUGAAGCAAGUUGGAUGAAAGAAUUUGUCUACCGUGGCAGCAUGCAAUUUGGUAUUUGUUUGAAUUUGUAGAAGAAGGAUGGAGAACGGGCCUGAACAGUCUAGAUGGCUUUCCAUGUCCUCACCAGUCUUAAGGCUGCCUUUAGAGCAAUACCUGGCCCUUCUUGCAUUACCACCAAAUCACCUUUUCAGUGUGGUACAGAGCCCUUCCUCUGGUCUUGUUUUUAAUUUGUGUGUCCCUUCUUCCUUCCUCCCAAUUCUAAAAAUGUUCAAGAGUAUUCUGUAAUGUCAUGACAGGAAGUUUUCGUUUCAUGAGGCGUGCUUGGAUCUUCUCACACAGUAAAACUGUAAGAAAUUU